AUUGAACGCUGGCGGCAGGCUUAACACAUGCAAGUCGAGCGGAGAUGAGGUGCUUGCACCUUAUCUUAGCGGCGGACGGGUGAGUAAUGCUUAGGAAUCUGCCUAUUAGUGGGGGACAACAUUCCGAAAGGAAUGCUAAUACCGCAUACGCCCGACGGGGGAAAGCAGGGGAUCUUCGGACCUUGCGCUAAUAGAUGAGCCUAAGUCGGAUUAGCUAGUUGGUGGGGUAAAGGCCUACCAAGGCGACGAUCUGUAGCGGGUCUGAGAGGAUGAUCCGCCACACUGGGACUGAGACACGGCCCAGACUCCUACGGGAGGCAGCAGUGGGGAAUAUUGGACAAUGGGCGGAAGCCUGAUCCAGCCAUGCCGCGUGUGUGAAGAAGGCCUUUUGGUUGUAAAGCACUUUAAGCGAGGAGGAGGCUACCUGGAUUAAUACUCUAGGAUAGUGGACGUUACUCGCAGAAUAAGCACCGGUUAACUCUGUGCCAGCCGCCGCCGUAAUAC
rnacentral:rRNA from 1 species